GACGAACCGUGCGAGCGUUAAUCGGAAUUACUGGGCGUAAAGCGUGCGCAGGCGGUUAUGUAAGACAGAUGUGAAAUCCCCGGGCUUAACCUGGGAACUGCAUUUGUGACUGGCAAGCUAGAGUAUGGCAGAGGGGGGGUAGAAUUCCACGUGUAGCAGUGAAAUGCGUAGAGAUGUGGAGGAAUACCGAUGGCGAAGGCAGCCCCCUGGGCCAAUACUGACGCUCAUGCACGAAAGCGUGGGGAGCAACAGG
rnacentral:rRNA from 1 species